GCAAAACGCAUCACUCCAACUUCAUCACCUCGCAUACAAAGAGUAGGCUCCAACAACCAUUUGUAUAACAAACAAGGACUCCCUUUAGAUCUCCCGACCCACCAUUUCCACAAGGAGGUUUUCACUUUCUCAAUCACUUCCGCCACAUCCGUGUUACCGUUAUCGAAAACAAUUGAAUUUCGGUCUUGCCAAAAAAACCAAAUGACAGCUCCGCAAAUCAUCAUCACUCAUC
rnacentral:lncRNA from 1 species